UGUCUGUCCUCUGCAUCAGCCCUCUACCUCACCCGCUGCCGAAGAGAAAAGGGACUGGGAGAUUCUUGCUGUCUGAUCCACUGUGCCUUUGGAGCAAAGGACAGGGCACAGAGAAGGAAGGAGUUGGCUGCUGCUAAGUACAGGUUCAUGAGUAGCGAACAAGCUCCAUGAUGGGAAGUAGAGAAAUCAAGAUUCUAACUGGAGGAUUAAAGUGUCUAGAGUUCUAAAGUUCAAAAAUGAGAAAAUUGAAGCACCAAGGUGUGACGUAUGUUGCUCAGAGUACCACAGCUAUGAAGUGCAGAGCUAGCAUUCAAACCCAGCUCAAAGAAGAAAUGUAGUCAUUCAUGAUUCAUUGUUGCUUCUCUUGAGGAAAGAUGUGAAAGUAGAAGCGGCCAUAUGCAAAGUGAUUCAGCUCCCAGGUGGAAGGAGAAUCUUUUCAAUGAAACAGUGUAAAAAGAAAGGUAGGGGCUUCCCUGACGGCCCCGUGGUUAAGAAUCUGCCUGCCAAUGCAGGGGACAUGGGUUCGAGCCCUGGUCCAGGAAGAUCCUACAUGCCGGGGAGCAACUAAGCCUGCGUGCCACAACUACUGAAGCCUGAGCGCCUAGAGCCCGUGCUCCGCAACAAGAGAAACCACCAUGAUGAGAAGCCCACACGCCGCAAGGCAGAGUAGCCCCCGCUUGCCGCAACUAGAGAAAGCCUGUGCGCAGCACCGAAAACCCAAAGCAGCCAAAAAUUAAUAAAUAAAUAAAUUUACAAAAAAUAAUAAUAAUAAAAUAAAAUAAAAAAAUAAAAAGAAAGGUAGGUCAUAUUUUGAAUCAAAACCUCAGAGUGGUGUUCGGGAUUGGUUAGCUGGAGUACAAUGUAAUUUUUGCCUAGAAUUAAGGCCAAUAAAGGAUAUUUUAUUUUAGUUUUCUAAAAAAUAGAAAUUUAAACAUCUUACAAAACCUCAUUAGAGUUCAUGUUUUACUUAAAAUGUGGUUGAAAAGAAAAUCCAUCCCCUUCCAAUGGUAUGAGUCUAAAUAAAUUAAAAAUCCAAGAUGUACCAGUUUUAGAGAUAUGUAACUAGAAGUUAUUUAAAUAAUUAACUUUUUAAAGCAUUAGCUUCAAGAAACUGAUGUAAAAAAGGCCUUUCAUGGCUUCCCUGGUGGCUCAGUGGUUAAGAAUCUGCCUGCCAAUGCAGGGGACAUGGGUUUGAGCCCUGGUCCGGGAAGAUCCCACAUGCUGUGGAGCAACUAAUCCCGUGCGCCACAACUACUGAGCCUGCGCUCUGGAGCCAGCAAGCCACAACUACUGAAACCCACGCGCCUAGAACCCGUGCUCCACAACAAGAGAAGCCACUGCAAUGAGAAGCCUGUACACUGCAACGAAGAGUAAGCCCCUGCUCGGUGCAACUAAAGAAAGACCGCACGCAGCAACGAAGACCCAACGCAGCCAAAAACAAAUAAAUAAAUAAAUUUAUUUUUAUAAAAAAGGUUUGUCACUUAAAAAAAAUGCCUUUCAUCAUUCUACCCAGUCUUCAAUCAUCAGUACAAUCAUUUAUAUUACAUUAAAUAGUAGCAAAAAAUAAUUCAAAAGUUUAUCUACAAAUAAAGGAUGUCCUUUACAUUAUUCAUUUCAUAUUAAAUGACUCUCAGUAAGCCUUUUCUUCAUAGAGUUCAAAGAUAUAAAGUCCAACCUAUUAAAUCAUACUAUGCUCCAAUCUCAUGAAAUUUAAUAACAUUUCACUCUGUAAGCCUGGAAUAUCCAAAUCUAUCUGAAAUAAUGAAAUUUCUGUUGCAAUAAAUGCUUAGCUGGAAAUCACAUUUUCAGCCUCAAUUUCAACUAAUAUAGCAAACUAAAUAUCCUAAAACCUUCCUACUACAUAACAUGUUAAAUGCAUGGCUGAUCCUGGAGAAAAAGGGAAAGCCUUAUUGAUAAUAGAUAAUUUUUUAAUUGGUAAUUGACAAUGAAGCUGUAAGUAGUCUUAGGUGCUAUUCUUCAGUUUUAAUAACUAAAUGUAGAAAGAAAAGGACGGAUGUGGAAAGCACUGGACUAUUCAGGGUAGGGAACUGAAUUUUUGACAUUUAACAACAGAGUUAAACUCCCACUAAAAGUACAAAGAAGGAAAUGCAACUAAGCGCAGAAAUUAAUAAAAUAGAAUCUUAAUAAACAGUUGUAGGAAAGUGAUAUGCAGCAUGUUUGAAAAGUAAAAAAUAAGAAGAACAGUAGAGAAAAGUCCAAAAAAGAGAUAUUUUGCAUACACCUUGCACCUAGUUAUUUCCUACUUUAAGUUCUUUGGAUUUUCAGCUGAGAAUGAAGAACAACCGUUUCAUUCUUAUAACAUUUAUUUUCCCUACAAAAUGAAUUCAUUAUUAAUUCUUAGAAACUGAAUAUACAUGUAUUAUGUGUAUAUAUGCUAUAUAUAAAAAUAUACACAAAUUAAGCAUCAAGAAUAGUCACCAAUUCUCUCAACAUUAGGACAUAAUUAUCCCUAUUAACAUUUUGGCACAUACAGUACGUGUGACUACACUUAGACGUAUAUAAAUAUGUAUUUACAAAAUGAAGACUCAAACUCUAUACACAGAGGCAUAUCUGGCCUUUUAACUAAAAAAGAUCAUGAAAGUAUUCUUUAAAAAUAGGAC